rnacentral:rRNA from 1 species
GACGACGCUGGCGGCGUGCUUAACACAUGCAAGUCGAACGGAGAUAUAUCAGUAGCAAUACGGAUAUAUCUUAGUGGCGGACGGGUGAGUAACGCGUGAGCAACCUACCUUUUACAGGGGGAUAACACAGGGAAACCUGUGCUAAUACCGCAUAACAUACUAUUGGGGCAUCCCGAUGGUAUCAAAGGAGCAAUCCGGUAAAAGAUGGGCUCGCGUCCGAUUAGAUAGUUGGUGGGGUAACGGCCUACCAAGUCAACGAUCGGUAGCCGGACUGAGAGGUUGGCCGGCCACAUUGGGACUGAGACACGGCCCAGACUCCUACGGGAGGCAGCAGUGGGGAAUAUUGGUCAAUGGGGGAAACCCUGAACCAGCGACGCCGCGUGAAGGAAGAAGGCCUUCGGGUUGUAAACUUCUUUGACAGGGGACGAUAAUGACGGUACCCUGAGAACAAGCCACGGCUAACUACGUG